GGCUGCGGGCUUCGUGCGGCUCCCUGCUCCGGGCCCGCGGGGCCGGGACUGGACCGGGCUCUUCUCUAGGCAUCUGCGGGAUUCACUCGAGGUGGCCGGGUUCGUGCAUUAAAAACACCGGGCCAGCGUUGUCAGUGUUCUAAAGAGGUGUGCGUUCAGUUUGCUUUCUGUUGCCGCCUAAGCCUAACCUUGGGACCGGCCGUUUUCCCACUCUCCUGAAUAUCCUCCGGCCCGCAGGGCGAGGCGGAGACGCGGUGUUUGGCGCUGGCAUCGACUGGUACUUGUUUAGUGGUGUUUAACUGGGAUGGGCAGUGUGUAAACGCUGGACCGCAGAGUAUCCGACAGCUGUACGUGUGGAAGGCUGGCCGGACACGGUGGGGACUGCCCCUAUGCGGUGACCAAAAGGCGGUCUGACGGGAACAUUUUUAAUAUUCGAAAGUGGGGGAAAAAGGUAAGUACAAAACGCAGAUGAUUCAGUAACCUGUUUGGUAGCUUCGAAGAAGUUAAAGGGGAGUGACACAAAAUUGAAAAUUCAAAUUAGAAAACGAACUCUUGGAGAUACUAGUAAGAUAUUUGACAGGCGCCGAAUGCUCCAUCAAGCUGGCUGUUGCUAUUUCAAGG
rnacentral:lncRNA from 1 species